rnacentral:misc_RNA from 1 species
AAAAAAAAAAAAAAAAAACUCAGAUUGGACAUGAUAUUGCCUUCCAAAGUUUUUAAUUCAUGCCACUACUAUAAGAACGAGAAAUUAAUUGAUUUUUAUAUUCCCUUAUGAGAAUGAAACAAUAACAUAAUGUCAUUUCUUGUCCAAAAUAAUUGAGUCACUAGGAAUCUCACCCCAUCUUUAUUCUGUUCACAUCUUCAUUUAUUGCUUUGCCUCAGUUUUGCGUAAAAUCCUGAAGCUUAGAUUUGGGCCUAGCAUUGUGACAUUUAAUACCUUAAUUAAUGGGUUUUGUAUGGAUGGGAUAAUUAAUCGAGCAAUAGAAUUUUUCAAUGAUAUGGUUGCUAGAGGUUAUCAACCUCUUUACAUUGGACACUUCAUUGAUUCAUGAAUAUUGUCUGCAUAGUCAAAUGGAUCAAGCUUUGGCCUUGCUGUGAAAUGAUAGAGCAAAACAUUUCACUAGAUGUUUAUACCUUCAAUAUAUUGAUUGACAC